rnacentral:rRNA from 1 species
AUGCACGCUGGCGGCGUGCCUCAUACCUGCCAGUCGAGCGAACAGACGAGGAGCUUGCUCCUCUGACGUUAGCGGCGGACGGGUGAGUAACACGUGGAUAACCUACCUAUAAGACUGGGAUAACUUCGGGAAACCGGAGCUAAUACCGGAUAAUAUAUUGAACCGCAUGGUUCAAUAGUGAAAGACGGUUUUGCUGUCACUUAUAGAUGGAUCCGCGCCGCAUUAGCUAGUUGGUAAGGUAACGGCUUACCAAUGCAACGAUGCGUAGCCGACCUGAGAGGGUGAUCGGCCACACUGGAACGGAGACACGGUCCAGACUCCUACGGGAGGCAGCAGUAGGGAAUCUUCCGCAAUGGGCGAAAGCCUGACGGAGCAACGCCGCGUGAGUGAUGAAGGUCUUCGGAUCGUAAAACUCUGUUAUUAGGGAAGAACAAAUGUGUAAGUAACUAUGCACGUCUUGACGGUACCUAAUCAGAAAGCCACGGCUAACUACGUG